rnacentral:rRNA from 1 species
GACGAACGCUGGCGGCGUGCUUAACACAUGCAAGUCGAAGGGAAAGGCCCUGCUUUUGUGGGGUGCUCGAGUGGCGAACGGGUGAGUAACACGUGAGUAACCUGCCCUUGACUUUGGGAUAACUUCAGGAAACUGGGGCUAAUACCGGAUAGGAGCUCCUGCUGCAUGGUGGGGGUUGGUAAGUUUCGGCGGUUGGGGAUGGACUCGCGGCUUAUCAGCUUGUUGGUGGGGUAGUGGCUUACCAAGGCUUUGACGGGUAGCCGGCCUGAGAGGGUGACCGGCCACAUUGGGACUGAGAUACGGCCCAGACUCCUACGGGAGGCAGCAGUGGGGAAUAUUGCACAAUGGGCGGAAGCCUGAUGCAGCAACGCCGCGUGCGGGAUGACGGCCUUCGGGUUGUAAACCGCUUUCGCCUGUGACGAAGCGUGAGUGACGGUAAUGGGUAAAGAAGCACCGGCUAACUACGUG